CCUAGGGUGUCAGCAGUGGGGAAUAUUGGACAAUGGGCGAAAGCCUGAUCCAGCCAUGUCGCGUGUGUGAAGAAGGCCUUCGGGUUGUAAAGCACUUUCAGUGGGGAAGAAAGCCUUGGGGCUAAUACCCUCGAGGAAGGACAUCACCCACAGAAGAAGCACCGGCUAACUCCGUGCCAGCAGCCGCGGUAAUACGGAGGGUGCGAGCGUUAAUCGGAAUUACUGGGCGUAAAGCGCGCGUAGGCGGUCUGAUAAGCCGGUUGUGAAAGCCCCGGGCUCAACCUGGGAACGGCAUCCGGAACUGUCAGGCUAGAGUGCAGGAGAGGAAGGUAGAAUUCCCGGUGUAGCGGUGAAAUGCGUAGAGAUCGGGAGGAAUACCAGUGGCGAAGGCGGCCUUCUGGACUGACACUGACGCUGAGGUGCGAAAGCGUGGGUAGCAAACAGGAUUAGAUACCCGAGUAGUC
rnacentral:rRNA from 1 species